rnacentral:sRNA from 1 species
AUUGACCACGCGCACGCACUGGUUCUGAGCGCAGCAUCCGCACCCAGCUGACGGCCGCUCGCUCCGUCAUGCUGGCG